rnacentral:sRNA from 1 species
CUGCGUUAAGGAUAGCAGUGAAAAUCCUUUUUACGUCAGUUCGAGUGAAUUUGCCUAAGCAAAUUUGUAGCGAUAACAAGUAAAAAGAUUGCAACGGAUAGCCUGUUAAAAC